GAAAUUUCUCUUCUCAUGUGACGACGAAAAACAAGAAAAAAUCUCACUUGAAAUAACCGUCACAGUUUUCUGCAGAAAGGUGCUGAACGUGCAGGUGAGUCAGCAGCUUUGGGAUGGUGUGCUGAUGCCCUACAUACAGCGUGAUACUGAUAGUGAGGGGAAGGUGUUGCAGCAGCAGCACGUCGCACUGGAGGAAGAGUCACCUGAUACCUGCGUGUGCCGCCGAAGCCUCUGGAGAGGCUGAGCUGCCGAGGCGAUCCCUUGUGGAGGCAGAGGGAGGGAAACGGCCGACAAAACAAACAUAAACAGAGCCGUGGCAGCUGUGUGGGGGGGCAGGCUGAGCCGCGUGCACGUUCUUGGCGGCCACAGUUUGACCUUGGCCGGGCAUGCCCAGGCCUGCCUCUCAAUGCUGGGUGGGAGACUCACCAAGCCGCCUGCAGGACUUGGACCGGCUCAAUGAGAAAAGAAAAUACCAGACCGGGCAAACAAGGGCAUAGUGGUCUCCCUCCACCUCGCUCCGUCUUUUUAAUGAUUCCUUUCUUUUUCCAUUUCUCAACACUCAUCGGAUUCCAACACACGGCUUGGCGCGGCGCCGGAGGGAAAGCUUUGAAACGCUGCUGCUUUACAUAUCUUAGACUCUACCCUCAAUAGGUGAGCUGCCGUGGCGACGACAGCGACAAAGGCCUCCGCCGCCGCACACACACCCGGUCAGGCCUGGUCCAAGCCUCAGACCCCCUCGCUGCUCGGCACAGCCAGGGAUUUCUCCCAAGCAGCCCUCCGCCGGUCUGAAACCCUGCCCCCAUUCACUGCUGCACCCCCAGCAAAGAGCCGCACAGCUCCUCUGUUGUGUUUGCGUUUAGGGCGUCCACAGAAUGACGUGAUGAGAGUGGACGUGGGAUAGAGCGGGAGAGCGAGCCUCCAGGACGGUUCCCAAACAGCUCACAGUCGGGAUGUUUCUGGCACUGCGCUUUAUCAGUCCGCUGCAGUGGGACCGUUUAACGGCAGCCGGCUGAUUUGUGAUGCAGCAGCUCGUGUUUUAUCACCACAGUCAGUCCUAUCACAUCGGGCCCAACUUCAGUUUGUCUUGUUCUGUACGUUGUGGGUUGAUGUUACAUUACGUCAUUUUAUGGGGCCCGAAGCAAAAUGCCAACCUGACCCAUGAGCCACGUAAACCACACAGCCACAAUCCUCCCUCUUUUAAAACAGUCUGCUGUCUAAGAAUUAGAUCUACACAGAACAGAAUGAAGUUUAUAUUGUAGAAAAUAGUCCAGUCCUCACAAUAUAUAUUAUACAAUGUAAACAGAAGUCUACAGACUCUGACUGAAGCUUUAAGUCUCAAAAUAUCUGCAUCAGGUCCAUUUAAACUGGAUCCACAGAUUUCCUUAUAUACACUCUGGUGUUCAUCCUCUCAUCAAGGGGGGGCGACCCUGUGCAGCCCGUAUAGGGCCGACUGACUCUGUGUUCGUGAGGUGUUAUGCAGGGCUGGCAUGACGGAUGUGUCUCAUCUUUCCAGCGAUUCCCAAUUUAGACAAUUCCAACACUGUUUAUGGACGCCAGUGUGGUUAUACCAAUAUGAUUGGUACCAAUGGAGGCAUACAUCUGGUUUCAUAUGAUACCAGUAUCUUACAGUAUGAGAAGGAUAAUGGGGUGGCCAAUCAGAUUACAGUGCCACCCCAGGUCCCCCUCUGGAAUCGGCCCUGUUUAGGUCUCAGUGGAGGCUCCACAACUGUUUGGCACUGAUAAAGAAAUGGCUAUUUAUAGCCUGUUAGCCUGCUGAUGUUAGCAUUUGUCGCACUGGAGCACAGUGACUCUUGGUCUCGUUUCUUUCCACUUCUCUUCCAAUCUUCCCAAAAACAAGGAUGGAAAGCAACGCUGGAGCUCCAGGUUUGGGUUUAAUAUGUGAUCUAAUAAGCUCUUUAGUCGGGGAAUGAUUGACUUCACGGCAGGGAGGAGAAACCAGCUUCCAAAAUGUUCAACAUUUUACCUGCAGAUCAGGAAACGGCAGUUAUUAUUUAUCCAUACUGUGUGUUUGUGGAUUCAGCUUUAAAUUAAAACUUCCCCUUUAAA